rnacentral:pre_miRNA from 1 species
UUUGUACAAUCUCUGUCCCAAAUUACUUCUCUUAGAUUUGGAUGUAUCUGGACACGUUUUAGUGUUAGAUACAUCCAUAUCUAGACAAAUCUAAGACAAGUAAUUUGGGACGGAUGGAGUAAAAC